CCGGACCGGCGCACGGGUGAGUAACACGUAUGCAACCUGCCCUCUUCAGGGGGACGAACCUUCCGAAAGGGAGGCUAAUCCCGCGUAUAUCGGUUUCGGGCAUCCGAGAUCGAGGAAAGAUUCGUCGGAAGAGGAUGGGCAUGCGGCGCAUUAGCUAGACGGCGGGGUAACGGCUCACCGUGGCGACGAUGCGUAGGGGUUCUGAGAGGAAGGUCCCCCACACUGGUACUGAGACACGGACCAGACUCCUACGGAAGGCAGCAG
rnacentral:rRNA from 1 species